AAAUGGUACAUGCAUAUAUUGUAUCACUUUUCUUCUUUGACUCUCCACAUCUUCAUCUUCAAAAUGAGAAAUUUGAGUUAAUUCCUAGGCAGCAGAAUGUCUCAAAAAGACUUUUGGCUGUGGCUACUGAUCCAUGAAGUAGACUGGAAUAAAGCAGGUGUCUUCUGAGCUCAGGGUCCAGCACAGCAUAGCUGGGAACACCGUCCACCACGGGAUGAAGCUGAGGAGGAAGGUUGAAGAUUUUUCCUGGUUAUCUGUGAGUGGAAAUUAUGAUUGUUGUAAAGAAGUAACAACUUUGGAAACAUGGAG